rnacentral:lncRNA from 1 species
CAGCCGCUGGCUGCUGGGCCCUACCAAGCCUUCCACGUGCGCCUUAUAGCCUCUCAACUUCUUGCUUGGGAUCUCCAACCUCACCGCGGCUCGAAAUGGACCCCAACUGCUCCUGCGCCACUGGCUGCUGCUCCUGCUGCCCCAUGAGCUGUGCCAAGUGUGCCCAGGGCUGCAUCUGCAAAGGGGCAUCAGAGAAGUGCAGCUGCUGUGCCUGAUGUCCGGACAGCCCUGCUCGAAGAUAUAGAAAGAGUGACCUGCACAAACUUGGAAUUUUUUUUCCAUACAACCCUGACCCAUUUACUGUAUUUUUUUUAAUGAAAUAUGUGAAUGAUAAUAAAAGUUGCUGACUUAA